UUUUUUUUUUUUUUUUUUUUUUCCUCCAGUUUUUUGAUUUUGCAAUUCACGUGAUUCAUGGCAAACAAAAAGCA
rnacentral:ribozyme from 1 species